rnacentral:miRNA from 1 species
CAUGUCAUUUAUCUGACGCUUUCAUCCAAAACGACUUUGUGUGUGUGUGUGUAUAUAUUUUUAUAUAUAUAUACACACACACACACACUAAGUGCAUUUCAACCAUA